AUAAAAAAAGUUGUUAUUUAAAGAGAAAACAAUCUAAUGGGCAUGACUAAAAAUAUUAAAAGAAGAAAUUACGACCUUGCCAACUUAACGGCUUCAUAUUUUAUUCUUUAUCCUCAUUUUAGUAUCAUUUCAUAAUUCGUAUUUAUGGAUGUUUAAGAUUCUCUACUGGUAUGUAGAGUUUUUAUCCAAAAACCCCCCCCCAAAAAAUUACUGCUAAAGUAUACUGCAAGAAAUGGUUAAGAUUCAGUAAGUUCAUAAGUUGUACUUCUGCAUAAAGAAUGGACUAAUUACAAUUAAACUACUACUCUAGCAUACAGUUACUAUAUGAAAAGACCCAUCAAUUAAUUAACAUUUGUCCUCCAGGGGAAUGUACAGCACUGGAGAUACCAUCAAAUUUACUUAACAAAAGGGAGGUAAAAAUUGACGUUCAAUUUUCUAAACACAAUGGAAAGAAGGGGAUGAGACAAUUCUUUUACAGUUGUUUCCACUUCAGUUUUUUUUGCUGGCCAUGGCCUUGCAGGCUACAGAUUUAACCCUAGUUCCAACCUUCAAAAAGUUUGCGCUCACUAAUUAACCAAGUGGACCACAAGGAAAAAAGACUCCAGCCCGUGGCUCAGCAGGCCUGGAGCGCUGCACUGACGCUGCCAGGAGCUCUGCCAGACAACAGGAAGACCUAGGACAGAAUUCAACUCUCAUAAAUGGAAUUGAACAAAUAGGUGUACCAGAAGGACUGUUUUACCACAUAACAGCACAGAAGACAUAAUUUUAUUUAAAAUUAUCUUCUACAUUAAGUAGUAAAUACUGUAAAAAUUCAGGACCUCACGAAGUAACUGUCCUAAAUUUGGUGCCCAUCUUUACGUAACGACCAGUUUUUCUUUACCCUGACGGUAAGUCCUAAUCUCUCUCCCCACCUCCAGUGUUAACUGGCUUUUACUUACCCUUUCCCCAUUUCUCCCUUGCAAACCAAACCAAACCAAACCCCUAUCUCACCUGCCUGCUGCUUCUCACCUGCCAAGUUGUUCAUCUGAAGCACUUCUUUAUUCCAUGCCAAUUUUUCCUGGUUUUGCAGUGUAUGUACCCUGUGCUUCCUGACCUAAACAACCGGUCAGCUAUAAAAGAUUCCUAAAGAGAGGGGAUCCUGACUGAGCAAUCGGGGACGAUGCCUUCAGGCAACCAUAAACUUCUCUUCCCCCCAUGGUGCUGAAGACUUCCUAAAGCAAGAAAUCACUCAUCCCUUCAAGUAUAUAAUUUGUUACAGCUUUCAUGCAUCACAAAGGACAAGAGAAGUAUACAAGUGAUUGAAAGCAAGCGAACAAGAGACCAAUACUCAUUAGGCUUCCUUCAACUCAAUCAACAACUGAAUAGACUGUUUUACACUACAGGAAGAAUCAAGUGAAGUCAAAUAUUAGUUUUCCCUUUGCCAGACAGUGCACAGACAUUAAUUAUGACGACGGGUGCUGGGGACAGCAGUAGAACCGUAACGAAACACGGCCACUGUGCAGGCAGCUUAAUGGUCAUCCCCUGGCAUCGCCAGUGGCGUUGCUGCUGCCACUCAGAUGUGCAGUGCUUCCACGAGCCUCCCUGAACAUUUUAUUGCUUCAGAGGACAUGGGAUGACCUGUCUCUGCAUAUACAGAGAAAAGGCUAAUUCUACCACUCAAAUGUGCUAGGCGAGUUAAAACAUUUUGUAAUAAUAAAAACAAAAAUUAUACACGAGCAUAUAAACAUCACCAGUAAAUGUGUGUUAAAAUAUAUCCAAGCAGAGCGGCUUUAUUCCCAGUGAGCCAAUAUUUUUAUGAGGAAGAAAUGAAUAUGAAUGUUAUUAAAUUAACUAAAUCAAUGUUACUUGAUUAAUUCAAGUCACUUCAGCAUUUGCUAAGAACAUUAUGAAAAAGUCACAACCUCCAAGUGCUCUCACACUAUUGUGGGGCUGAAUUUCUGGGAAUGUAUUUGCCGUCUUUGUUUUAAAUUUCUGAUACUAAAUCUUUAUGUUAAAUUGAUCCUUGGGAACAAUCGAUCCUGACUAAAGCAGGUAAAAUGAAGUUACGUGCUUCUUCCUGUG